AAUGUGCUAGCAGCAUGAUAUAUAGAUUUGGCAUCUGCUAGGUUUGGCAAGUGUUAUUAAAGUUUGAUUCCGAAUAUUUCUUGAGAAUUUGAAACUUGUUACACUGGAGAAAUUCUGCUUAUUUUUACUUUUGCAGACGUGGAAGAAACCCAUUGGCUAUAGUCUUGGCACCUACAAGAGAACUUGCAAAACAAGUGGAUAAAGAAUUUUUUGAAUCUGCUCCUGGUCUGGAUACACUGUGUGUUUAUGGUGGUGUACCCAUUUCACACCAGAUGAGCUCCCUUGAUAGAGGAGUAGAUAUUAUUGUGGGUACACCAGGUCGGGUUAUUGAUCUGCUGAAGAGACACUGUGUGUUUAUGGUGGUGUCCCCAUUUCACGCCAGAUGAGCUCCCUUGAUAGAGGAGUAGAUAUUAUUGUGGGUACACCAGGUCGGGUUAUUGAUCUGCUGAAGAGGGGUGCUUUGAAUUUGUCAGAGAUCCAGUUUGUUGUUCUAGAUGAAGCUGAUCAAAUGCUUAA
rnacentral:lncRNA from 1 species